GCGAGGGUGGCGAAAUUGGCAAACGCACUGGAUUUAGGAUCCAGCGGCUUCGUGCCUUGCGGGUUCAAGUCCCGCCUCUCGCA
rnacentral:tRNA from 1 species